rnacentral:rRNA from 1 species
UAGGGAGUCGGACCUGCCCAGUGAAUUAUUUUUAACGGCCGCGGUACUCUGACCGUGCAAAGGUAGCAUAAUCAUUUGCCUUAUAAUUAAAGGCUAGUAUGAAUGGUUUGACAAGAAUAUAGCUGUCUCUUUGUAAUUUUAUAGAAUUUUAUCUUAAAGUGAAGAAGCUUUAAUUUAAUUAAAAGACAAGAAGACCCUAUCGAGCUUGAAAGAAAUUUUUAGAAAUUAAUUAAUAAAACUUAAAAAAUUCACUAAAAAACAUUUUAGUUGGGGCGACUAAGGAACAAAUAAAGCUUCCUUUAAUAAUAACAACAUUCAAGCGUAGAUCCAAAAUAUUUGAUCAAAGAAAUUAGUUACCGUAGGGAUAACAGCAUUAUCUUUUUUGAGAGUUCUUAUCGAAAAGAAGGUUUGUGACCUCGAUGUUGGACCAGAAUAUCCCAAAGAUGCAGAAGUCUUUAAAGGUUGGUCUGUUCGACCAUU